AUUGAACGCUGGCGGCAGGCCUAACACAUGCAAGUCGAGCGGAUGAAGGGAGCUUGCUCCUGGAUUCAGCGGCGGACGGGUGAGUAAUGCCUAGGAAUCUGCCUGGUAGUGGGGGAUAACGUCCGGAAACGGGCGCUAAUACCGCAUACGUCCUGAGGGAGAAAGUGGGGGAUCUUCGGACCUCACGCUAUCAGAUGAGCCUAGGUCGGAUUAGCUAGUUGGUGGGGUAAAGGCCUACCAAGGCGACGAUCCGUAACUGGUCUGAGAGGAUGAUCAGUCACACUGGAACUGAGACACGGUCCAGACUCCUACGGGAGGCAGCAGUGGGGAAUAUUGGACAAUGGGCGAAAGCCUUAUCCAGCCAUGCCGCGUGUGUGAAGAAGGUCUUCGGAUUGUAAAGCACUUUAAGUUGGGAGGAAGGGAAGUAAGUUAAUCCCUUGCUGUUUUGACGUUACCAACAGAAUAAGCACCGGCUAACUUCGUG
rnacentral:rRNA from 1 species